rnacentral:rRNA from 1 species
CUUUCUUUGCUGGCGACCGGCGCACGGGUGAGUAACACGUAUCCAACUUGUCGAUAACUCCGGAAUAGCCUUUCGAAAGAAAGAUUAAUACCGGAUGGCAUACGAAUAUCGCAUGAUAUUUUUAUUAAAGAAUUUCGGUUAUCGAUGGGGAUGCGUUCCAUUAGUUUGUUGGCGGGGUAACGGCCCACCAAGACUACGAUGGAUAGGGGUUCUGAGAGGAAGGUCCCCCACAUUGGAACUGAGACACGGUCCAA